CGGCGUGGGGACCCUGGGUGUCCCGCCCCGGUCGGCCGGCUCCGACGGCCACUGCGGGCAGGUUGGUAGCGGUCGCCGAGGAGAAGGGCUGGGCCGUGUGUGGGAAGUGGGUGUGAGUUCCAGAGGCGGCGCGGGAAGGUGCGGCGCACCCUCGUCGUCCCCUCUCGUCGCGCUCCCGCCAGUGACGCUGAACCUAGCAGCGCUGCGGGCGGCUUCGACCGUAAGCUGGUAAUUGCCUCGACUUGCCGGCUUUCUAAAGGCCACGUGCUGUGUUCCAGUUCUUGAAGACAAAUGAAGGCCAACGACUGGAGCGACAUUUUGGAUACGAGGCUCUCCUCCUUCCCAGCUUGAUGAAGUAAGUGGCCACACUGGGGAAGCCCAUAUGUUAAAGAACUUCAGGAGUCCUCAGCAAACCAUGGGAUGCCUCUGGGGACUGUGGCCUCCUGGAGUCAAGGGCAGCCUCCAAGCAACAGCCAGCAAUGAGCUGAACCCUUACUCCUACAAGCAUAGGAAGCAGAUUCUGCUGACAACCUGGGUCAUCUUAGAAGGAGAUUCUUCCGUAGCUGAGUCCCCUGAUGAUAAUGCAGCCGGGCCAGUAUCUUCACAGCAAUAUUGUGAAACCCUAAGGGAAUGGCUAAGCUGAGUCUGUAUUCCUGACUAGGGAAACUGUAAGUUAAUAAAUUGUGGUCAUUUAGUUGCUAAGUCGUGUCCAACUCUUUUGUGACCCCAUGGACUGUAGCCCACCAGUCUCCUUCUGUCCAUGGGAUUUCUCAGGCAAGAAUACUGGAGUGGGUUGCCAUUUCCUUCUCCAGGGGAUCUUCCUAACUCAGGGAUUGAACCCACGUCUCUGUCUCCUGCAUUGGCAGGCAAGUUCCUUACCACUGAGCCACCAGGAAAACCCAAGAUAAAUAUCGUUGCUAAAGUUGCUAAGUGCAUGGUAGCUUGUUUUGUGGACGAUAACUAAUAUAGUUCCUCAGAAACAGCUGGCACAAGCCCUUUGCCCUCUUUUUCUUCCUUCCUGUCUUCUAUCCUUUGCGUAAAACUCGGCUACAUCUUUACUGGACCAAGAGUUUGUGGGCCACACUUUUGGAAUGCUGGUGCUUUGAGCUGGAAAACAUCUAAGUUCCUAAGGGCAGGGGAAUUCAUGUGAGCAUAACCAUUUAUCUUAUU
ensembl:lncRNA